rnacentral:rRNA from 1 species
UCUAAGCACAUGCCUUCAAACGGUGAAGCCGCGAAUAGCUCAUAACAACAGCCAUCGUUUAUUAGAAUAUCGUUAUCCUACUUGGAUAACUGUGGCAAUUCUAGAGCUAAUACAUGCAAUAAAGCUCUGCCCGCAAGGAACGAGCGCAUUUAUUAGAAUAAAAACCAAUCGGGUUUCGGCCCGUAAUUUGGUGAAUCUGAAUAACUUUGCCAAUCGCACAGUCCUAGUACUGGCGAUGUAUCUUUCAAGUGUCUGCCUUAUCAACUUUCGAUGGUACGCUAUACGCCUACCAUGGUAGUAACGGGUAACGGAGAAUAAGGGUUCGACUCCGGAGAGGGAGCCUGAGAAACGGCUACCACAUCCAAGGAAGGCAGCAGGCGCGCAAAUUACCCACUUCCAGAACGGAGAGGUAGUGACGAAAAAUAACGAGACAGUCCUCUUCGAGGUCUGUCAUCGGAAUGGGUACAAUUUAAA